GACGAACGCUGGCGGCGUGCUUAACACAUGCAAGUCGAACGGAAAGGCCCCUUUGGUGGUCCUCGAGUGGCGAACGGGUGCGUAACACGUACGUAACCUGCCCUUGACUUCGGGACAACUUCAGGAAACUGGGGCUAAUACCGGAUAGGAAUCAUUGCUUCAUGGUGGGGGUUGGAAAGCUUCGGCGGUUUUGGAUGGACUCGCUGGGUAGCAGCUUGUUGGUGGGGCAGUGGCUUACCAAGGCUUUGUCGUGUAGCCGGACUGAGGAGGCGACCGGCCACAUAGACACUGAGGGAAGGCACAGACUCCGACUGGAGGGAGAUGUGGGGAAGACUGACCAAGGGGCGGAAGGCUGAUGCAGCAAGUCCGCGGGCGGGAUGACGGUCUUCGGGUUGGAAAACGCAUUCAGCAGGGGCGAAGCUUGUGGUGACGGUACCUGCAGAAGAAGCACCGGCUAACUACGUG
rnacentral:rRNA from 1 species